rnacentral:rRNA from 1 species
CCUACGGGUGGCAGCAGUAGGGAAUCUUUCACAAUGGGCGAAAGCCUGAUGGAGCAACGCCGCGUGCAGGAUGAAGGCCUUCGGGUUGUAAACUGCUUUUAUAAGCGAGAAAUAUGAUGGUAACUUAUGAAUAAGGAUCGGCUAACUACGUGCCAGCAGCCGCGGUCAUACGUAGGAUCCGAGCAUUAUCCGGAGUGACUGGGUGUAAAGAGUUGCGUAGGUGGCAUAAUAAGUAGCUAGUGAAAUCUGGUGGCUCAACCAUUCAGACUAUUAGCUAAACUGUUAAGCUCGAGACCGUUAGGGGUAACGGGAAUUUGUAGUGUAGGAGUGAAAUCCGGAGAUAGUAGAAGGAACACCAAUAGCGUAGGCAGGUUGCUGGGACGGUUCUGACACGAAGGCACGAAAGCGUAGGGAGCAAACGGGAUUAGAUACCCUAGUAGUC